rnacentral:rRNA from 1 species
UACGUAGGCAGCGAGCGUUGUUCGGAGUUACUGGGCGUAAAGGGUGUGUAGGCGGUUGUUUAAGUUUGGGGUGAAAUCUCCCGGCUCAACUGGGAGGGUGCGCCGAAUACUGAAUGACUUCGAGUGCGGGAGAGGAAAGUGGAAUUCCUGGUGUAGCGGUGAAAUGCGUAGAUAUCGGGAGGAACACCAGUGGCGAAGGCGGCUACCUGGCACAUAACUGACGCUGAUACGCGAAAGCGUGGGGAGCGAACCGG